rnacentral:misc_RNA from 1 species
UUUCCGUAGGUGAACCUGCGGAAGGAUCAUUAUUGUAUAACCGGGGUGCGAGAGCUGUCGCUGACCCGAAAGGUCGUGCACGCCCGAGUGCCCUCACACACAUCCAUCUCGCCCCUGUGUGCACCACCGCGUGGGUCCCCCUUUGGCUUGUUCGGAGGGGUGCUUACGUUUUCACACAAACUUUGUAUGCAGUGUAGAAUGUAUUUUUUGUUUUUGCGAUCACGCAAUCAAUACAACUUUCAACAACGGAUCUCUUGGCUCUC